AUGCUCACUUUGGUUGCACACGUUCUAAAAUUGGAAAAACACAGAUAAGAUUAGCAUGGUGCCCGUCCAAAAGAUGACAUGCAAAUUGUGACACAUUUCCUAUUUAA
rnacentral:snRNA from 1 species